ACGUCACCAGACUGGAGCGAGCGCAAGAAUGAUGUAGGAGUGGUUUCACUUUCCGACCGGAGGAAAACCAUCUCAAAGAAACGCUAUUUCACCCAGAUUUACCUUCACUAACAAAACCGCGCGCGUUCAGGUGUGAUUCACGCGCACUGGACACAUGAACGAGGAAUGACAGAGAAUAAAGUUAGUCGCGUGUCUUCUCGGAUCUUCUGAUUAUUAUUCACACAGCUGGAUGAGCGGCUCUUUGUCCUAGUCUAACUUCUCACUGCUGGGAUGUGCCGUGAUUGAAGGAUCUGCCCCGCUGUUACACACACGCUCUCGGUCGGAUCACACACACUCCGCUCACCGUCGCCAUGUUGGCCCUCCUGUUGUGCGCUCUGCUGGCUGUGCGCUCUCACGCUCUAAAUGUCCGUGUCCCAGAAUCCCCUGUGGUGGCUCUGUUUGGGAUGGACACAGUCCUCAACUGCUCUUUCUCAGGGGCCGCAGAGUUUAACCUGUCUGACCUGAGUGUGUUCUGGCAGCUCUCAGACACGAAGCGCAUCGUGCACAGUUAUUCGCAGAGCCGGGAUCAGCUGAUCGACCAAGACGACAGAUUCGUCAACCGCACCAGCCUGUAUCCAGAUCAGCUGAUGGCCGGCAACGUCUCGCUCCUGCUGAAGAAAGUGCGCGUCGCGGACGAGGGAAGUUACAUGUGUUUCGUCAAAGUGCAGACGUACAGCAGCGGAGCCAUGCUGAUGCAAGUGGCAGCUCCGUUCUCCAAACCCCUGGUCACCUGGGGCACAGAGUCGAACCUGAAGCCCGGCGACGUGGUCGCCCUCACCUGUGUGGCGUACGGCGGUUAUCCCGAGGCGCAGGUGCUGUGGCAGGACGGCGCGGGACGCAACCUGACGGACAACGUUACCAUCUCGCAGGUAGCCAACGAGGAGGGUCUCUUCAGUGUGAAGAGUGUCCUGACCGUCACUCUGGAGCCCAACAGCACCUACAACUGCCGACUGACCAAUCCACUGCUCGGAGAGGAAGGACAAGCUUCAGUUACCAUCACGGCCACCACAACAGAGAGUUUCCACAACAGAGAGUCCCGACCGUCAUGUGGAGAGUUAUCCAUGUCAUGCCUGCCCAGCCAGAGACGGUUCCCGUCAUGCCUGCCCAGCCAGAGACUGUUCACGUCAUUCCUGUCCAGCCAGACUCUUCACGUCACUCCUGUCCAGCCAGACUGUUCAUGUCAUUCCUGCCCAGCCAGAGACUCUUCACUUCAUGCCUGCCCAGCCAGAGACUGUUCAUGUCAUUCCUGCCCAGCCAGAGACUCUUCACGUCAUGCCUGUCCAGCCAGACUCUUCACGUCAUGCCUGCCCAGCCAGAGACUGUUCACGUCAUUCCUGUCCAGCCAGACUCUUCACGUCACUCCUGUCCAGCCAGACUGUUCAUGUCAUUCCUGCCCAGCCAGAGACUCUUCACUUCAUGCCUGCCCAGCCAGAGACUGUUCAUGUCAUUCCUGCCCAGCCAGAGACUCUUCACGUCAUGCCUGUCCAGCCAGACUGUUCAUGUCAUUCCUGCCCAGCCAGAGACUCUUCACUUCAUGCCUGCCCAGCCAGAGACUGUUCAUGUCAUUCCUGCCCAGCCAGAGACUCUUCACGUCAUGCCUGUCCAGCCAGACUCUUCACGCCUCCGCUCCACCACCCUCCUGGGGGAAUCUGCCAAAAUCUGGUGUUUCCUCCGGUGGCUCUGUGGGUGACGGUGGGUCUGGCCGUGUGUUUGCUGGGUUUGCUCAUCGCGCUCGCUGCCGUCUGCCGCAGGAAGAUCCAGGAGAGCUGUGAGGAGAUGAGAGCUGAGGAAGAAGCCAAAGAACUUGAGGAAGCCAAAGAACUAGAAGAAGCCAAGUCAGCCGCAACACCUCUGAAGAGCUAAAGUUGGAGACCACAGAUCCAGCAGUCAGCGAGCGACACGAGCACGAACCAUUCCUCCGAUCCAGCAGCGUUUCAUAAGGGAUUUUUACCCUUGCGUGUUUCACGCAUGGAUAGUAAAACUUUACAUUUUGACAUUUCACUCAAUUUGAUUCCUGUGUGCAUGAGGGAAGCCGCAUGUGGGGUGAAACAGAGCAACGACUGACUGAUUGAUCAUAAAAACCCACCCAUGCAUCAAUUCGUACGGCGAAUUGGACUGAACUAUAAAGGUAUGAGAAGAACCCAGACAGAAAACCUCCCUUUCAUAUUCCCCACUCAUUCCUAAAUAACAUCAAGAGCCUGUCCUCAUUUAUCUCUCCCACCUUUGCUCAUCCUCGAGCGUCUGAGAUGUAUGGCAUGAGAUUGUAAUUGUAUGCAGAACGUGUUAAAGGGGAAAUCUGUUUGAAAAGCAUUGGUUCUGACAAGCUCUCGGCUCCAGCACUGACACCAGCUCUGCAUUAGGACAGAAGCUCCAUGCAACAUCUCUGACCUAAUAGAAAGUGAGUAGCUUAAAAAAGCAGCCGGCGAACCGUCAGCAUCUCAGACGAGAAAGCGCUGGAUUUCUCUCCUUCCCUCUCUCGCUAGCUCCUUACGACCGGCCUAAUUAAUGCCUGCCCGUGAAGUAACUUGUAGCUGUCAGCGUCUGCCUGCUCUGCAAAAAUCCAAUAACUUCAGGGAGCAAUUUAGAUGGAACACCAGCUAAGCUCCUGAAAACUAUGAAUGCUGCAUAUGAGACACGCCCCGCGUCCUGCGCUGAGAUCGCUUGUGUUCAUGUCUGUAACUCCACAGCUGGAAUGAAUUGCAGAUUGUAUUUUGAUUUUUUUCUGGUUUUUUUUUUUUUUUCAUAUAUAUAAUUUCGUCAGGUACUUUGAAUAUUGGAUAUAUUUGAAUUUGAAAUGUGCCAAAAAUAAUUGGAGGCUUUAUUGCAAACAUGUUGUGCCUGUCUUUUAGUACAUAUGUAAAUUAAAAUGGUUCUCACUCUUA